GGCGCUGUGGUCUAGUCGCAUGAUUCCUGCUUCGGGUGAACUGAAGCUCCACACUUCGAAAGCGUGUCUGCAGGAGGUCCCGGGUUCAAAUCCCGGCAGCGCCC